AAUCAACGCUGGCGGCGUGCCUCAGACAUGCAAGUCGAACGCGAAAGUUUCCUUCGGGGAUGAGUAGAGUGGCGCACGGGUGAGUAACACGUAGGUAAUCUACCUUUGGAUGGGGAAUAACAAUCGGAAACGGUUGCUAAUACCGCAUAAUGCAGCGGCACCUAAUGGUGACAGUUGUUAAAGCGGGGAUCGAAGACCUCGCGUCUGAAGAGGAGCCUGCGGCGGAUAG
rnacentral:rRNA from 1 species